rnacentral:rRNA from 1 species
UGGGGAAUCUUAGACAAUGGGGGCAACCCUGAUCUAGCCAUGCCGCGUGAGUGAAGAAGGCCCUAGGGUCGUAAAGCUCUUUCGCUAGGGAUGAUAAUGACAGUACCUAGUAAAGAAGUCCCGGCUAACUCCGUGCCAGCAGCCGCGGUAAUACGGAGGGGACUAGCGUUGUUCGGAAUUACUGGGCGUAAAGCGCGCGUAGGCGGACUGGAAAGUUGGGGGUGAAAUCCCAGGGCUCAACCCUGGAACGGCCUCCAAAACUAUCAGUCUAGAGUUCGAGAGAGGUGAGUGGAAUUCCGAGUGUAGAGGUGAAAUUCGUAGAUAUUCGGAGGAACACCAGUGGCGAAGGCGGCUCACUGGCUCGAUACUGACGCUGAGGUGCGAAAGUGUGGGGAGCAAACAGGAUUAGAUACCCGUGUAGUCC